GGGUUGUGAGGUUAAGCGACUAAGCGUACACGGUGGAUGCCCUGGCAGUCAGAGGCGAUGAAGGGCGUGCUAAUCUGCGAUAAGCGCCGGUAAGGUGAUAUGAACCGUUAUAACCGGCGAUACCCGAAUGGGGAAACCCAGUGUGACUCGUCACACUAUCAUUAACUGAAUCCAUAGGUUAAUGAGGCGAACCGGGGGAACUGAAACAUCUAAGUACCCCGAGGAAAAGAAAUCAACCGAGAUUCCCCCAGUAGCGGCGAGCGAACGGGGAGGAGCCCAGAGCCUGAAUCAGCAUGUGUGUUAGUGGAAGCGUCUGGAAAGGCGCGCGAUACAGGGUGACAGCCCCGUACACAAAAGCGCAUGUGCUGUGAGCUCGAUGAGUAGGGCGGGACACGUGGUAUCCUGUCUGAAUAUGGGGGGACCAUCCUCCAAGGCUAAAUACUCCUGACUGACCGAUAGUGAACCAGUACCGUGAGGGAAAGGCGAAAAGAACCCCGGCGAGGGGAGUGAAAAAGAACCUGAAACCGUGUACGUACAAGCAGUGGGAGCACCCUUCGGGGUGUGACUGCGUACCUUUUGUAUAAUGGGUCAGCGACUUAUAUUCUGUAGCAAGGUUAACCGUAUAGGGGAGCCGGAGGGAAACCGAGUCUUAAUUGGGCGUUAAGUUGCAGGGUAUAGACCCGAAACCCGGUGAUCUAGCCAUGGGCAGGUUGAAGGUUGGGUAACACUAACUGGAGGACCGAACCGACUAAUGUUGAAAAAUUAGCGGAUGACCUGUGGCUGGGGGUGAAAGGCCAAUCAAACCGGGAGAUAGCUGGUUCUCCCCGAAAGCUAUUUAGGUAGCGCCUCGUGAAUUCAUCUCCGGGGGUAGAGCACUGUUUCGGCUAGGGGGCCAUCCCGGCUUACCAACCCGAUGCAAACUGCGAAUACCGGAGAAUGUUAUCACGGGAGACACACGGCGGGUGCUAACGUCCGUCGUGAAGAGGGAAACAACCCAGACCGCCAGCUAAGGUCCCAAAGUCAUGGUUAAGUGGGAAACGAUGUGGGAAGGCCCAGACAGCCGGGAUGUUGGCUUAGAAGCAGCCAUCAUUUAAAGAAAGCGUAAUAGCUCACUGGUCGAGUCGGCCUGCGCGGAAGAUGUAACGGGGCUAAACCAUGCACCGAAGCUGCGGCAGCGAACGUAUCACCCAAGACAACUUUACGGAGUUGACGAUUGACGGAGCGAAGCGACGUCAAAGCGUUCAUUAAAGUCGAGUUGGCUUAGGGAUACGUUCGUUGGGUAGGGGAGCGUUCUGUAAGCCUGUGAAGGUGUGUCGUGAGGCAUGCUGGAGGUAUCAGAAGUGCGAAUGCUGACAUAAGUAACGAUAAAGCGGGUGAAAAGCCCGCUCGCCGGAAGACCAAGGGUUCCUGUCCAACGUUAAUCGGGGCAGGGUGAGUCGACCCCUAAGGCGAGGCCGAAAGGCGUAGUCGAUGGGAAACGGGUUAAUAUUCCCGUACUUGGUGUUACUGCGAAGGGGGGACGGAGAAGGCUAUGUUGGCCGGGCGACGGUUGUCCCGGUUUAAGCGUGUAGGUGUGUGUUCCGGUAAAUCCGGUUCACUUUAACACUGAGGCGUGAUGACGAGGCACUACGGUGCUGAAGCAACAAAUGCCCUGCUUCCAGGAAAAGCCUCUAAGCAUCAGGUAACAUCAAAUCGUACCCCAAACCGACACAGGUGGUCAGGUAGAGAAUACCAAGGCGCUUGAGAGAACUCGGGUGAAGGAACUAGGCAAAAUGGUGCCGUAACUUCGGGAGAAGGCACGCUGACACGUAGGUGAAGUGAUUUACUCAUGGAGCUGAAGUCAGUCGAAGAUACCAGCUGGCUGCAACUGUUUAUUAAAAACACAGCACUGUGCAAACACGAAAGUGGACGUAUACGGUGUGACGCCUGCCCGGUGCCGGAAGGUUAAUUGAUGGGGUCAGCGCAAGCGAAGCUCCUGAUCGAAGCCCCGGUAAACGGCGGCCGUAACUAUAACGGUCCUAAGGUAGCGAAAUUCCUUGUCGGGUAAGUUCCGACCUGCACGAAUGGCGUAAUGAUGGCCGGGCUGUCUCCACCCGAGACUCAGUGAAAUUGAACUCGCUGUGAAGAUGCAGUGUACCCGCGGCAAGACGGAAAGACCCCGUGAACCUUUACUAUAGCUUGACACUGAACAUUGAGCCUUGAUGUGUAGGAUAGGUGGGAGGCUUUGAAGUGUGGACGCCAGUCUGCAUGGAGCCGACCUUGAAAUACCACCCUUUAAUGUUUGAUGUUCUAACGUGGACCCGUAAUCCGGGUUGCGGACAGUGUCUGGUGGGUAGUUUGACUGGGGCGGUCUCCUCCUAAAGAGUAACGGAGGAGCACGAAGGUUGGCUAAUCCUGGUCGGACAUCAGGAGGUUAGUGCAAUGGCAUAAGCCAGCUUGACUGCGAGCGUGACGGCGCGAGCAGGUGCGAAAGCAGGUCAUAGUGAUCCGGUGGUUCUGAAUGGAAGGGCCAUCGCUCAACGGAUAAAAGGUACUCCGGGGAUAACAGGCUGAUACCGCCCAAGAGUUCAUAUCGACGGCGGUGUUUGGCACCUCGAUGUCGGCUCAUCACAUCCUGGGGCUGAAGUAGGUCCCAAGGGUAUGGCUGUUCGCCAUUUAAAGUGGUACGCGAGCUGGGUUUAGAACGUCGUGAGACAGUUCGGUCCCUAUCUGCCGUGGGCGCUGGAGAACUGAGGGGGGCUGCUCCUAGUACGAGAGGACCGGAGUGGACGCAUCACUGGUGUUCGGGUUGUCAUGCCAAUGGCACUGCCCGGUAGCUAAAUGCGGAAGAGAUAAGUGCUGAAAGCAUCUAAGCACGAAACUUGCCCCGAGAUGAGUUCUCCCUGAGACUUAGAGUCUCCUGAAGGAACGUUGAAGACGACGACGUUGAUAGGCCGGGUGUGUAAGCGCAGCGAUGCGUUGAGCUAACCGGUACUAAUGAACCGUGAGGCUUAACCUUACAACGCCGAAG
rnacentral:rRNA from 1 species